AGUCUCAGAACGGGGAGGCAGAAACAGGAGACAAUCCAGGAAGACGUCCCGAGCCAGCAGGCUCCGUCCCAGAAUCAGUACAAAUGUGAGUUAUUUGUCUUUCUGAAAUAGAAUUAUGUGCGCUGAAGUCACUUUUAAUAUAUGGAAGUUUCCCAUUUUGGCCCCGUAAGCUUCUCCCUCUUCCCACAGUGAAGGAGGACACCGGUGUGCAGCUCAGCACUGAAACCAGCUCAACAGAGGACCGUCUCCAUGUCAGGCCAGCAGACACCCUGGGACCUUCUCUGGAGUCCAAUCUGUGAAUUGGAUCUCUGCGCUGCGAAGAGGUCCUAAUUGCGUGACCUUAGACAAGUUUGUGCCUUAAUUUCCUCAUCCAUAAAAUGGGGAUAUUAACAGUCCUGUCUCACAGAAUUGCUUUGAAAGAAAUCAACCCAGAAGCAUCUUCAGAGUCAAGCUCUGGCACCGAGCUGGUCAAGGCCUCAAGGAAGAGCAGGAAGGGUCUGCUCCAGGGAGCUCCUGCCCACAAGCGACCACACA